rnacentral:tmRNA from 1 species
GGGGGUGCACUGGUUUCGACGGGGAUCGGAAGCGCUUGUUGCAUGCCGGAGUGGGCAGGCUCCGUUAAAAAGCCCAAACACGUAUAAACGCCGACAACGACGUACAAUACGCACUGGCUGCUUAAUUAAGUAGUCACGUCUCAUGACUGAUCGCCCGUGUCGGGCAUGAGACGCUAAGAAGCGGGCUAGUCUCAUUGUCUGUCUGCGCCAUUGAGGCGAAACUUUAGCAGACUCCCCCAUAAGGAAUCCUGUUCGUGGGAGUCCAUAUGGGUUAAGCAAUACACGAACUACGCAUGUAGACGCUUGACGUGAAAGAUUUUCGGACGCGGGUUCGAUUCCCGCCACCUCCACCA